rnacentral:rRNA from 1 species
GAUGAACGCUGGCGGCGUGCCUAAUACAUGCAAGUCGAGCGAACAGACGAGGAGCUUGCUCCUCUGACGUUAGCGGCGGACGGGUGAGUAACACGUGGAUAACCUACCUAUAAGACUGGGAUAACUUCGGGAAACCGGAGCUAAUACCGGAUAAUAUAUUGAACCGCAUGGUUCAAUAGUGAAAGACGGUUUUGCUGUCACUUAUAGAUGGAUCCGCGCCGCAUUAGCUAGUUGGUAAGGUAACGGCUUACCAAGGCGACGAUGCGUAGCCGACCUGAGAGGGUGAUCGGCCACACGGGAACUGAGACACGGUCCAGACUCCUACGGGAGGCAGCAGUAGGGAAUCUUCCACAAUGGGCGAAAGCCUGACGGAGCAACGCCGCGUGAGUGAUGAAGGUCUUCGGGUCGUAAAACUCUGUUAUUAGGGAAGAACAAAUGUGUAAGUAACUAUGCACGUCUUGACGGUACCUAAUCAGAAAGCCACGGCUAACUACGUG